rnacentral:rRNA from 1 species
CCUACGGGGGGCUGCAGUUUCGAAUCAUUCACAAUGGGCGAAAGCCUGAUGGUGCGACGCCGCGUGAGGGAUGAAGGUCUUCGGAUUGUAAACCUCUGUCACUGGGGAAGAAACGCUUCAUGUUAAUAGCAUGAAGCCUGACUUAACCCAGAGAGGAAGCAGUGGCUAACUCUGUGCCAGCAGCCGCGGUAAUACAGAGACUGCAAGCGUUAUUCGGAUUCACUGGGCGUAAAGGGUGCGCAGGCGGCCGUGUGUGUUAGGUGUGAAAGCCCGGG